UCACAUUUACAAGUACCCAAGCCAGAUAUGCCUUUCAGUUGCUUAACCUUAAAAUCUGCUGAAAUUUUUCCAUCGUUUUAUAAAUUUGUAUGAGUAACUGGAACUCUGCCUAGUAAAUAACUGUUUUUGUGCUGUUAAGUUACUAUCUAAAAUCUAAUAGUCCAAACAUCUUGAGACAAGAUCUGCGUUUUAUCCUAACGAUGGACAUGCAUCAUUCCCCUCCUUAGUGGACAUAAAAGGUACGCUGCAAGAUGACCUACUCGACGGCUACAGUGCAGACCAGGCGCCUGAUGCUGAGAACCACACAGUUAUCAUCUUCAGUGGCAAUGUGGAACAGAUCAUCGACCUUGACGAAAAGAAGGAGCUUCUGGUUGCCUCCCUAGUCUUUAAAUUCACCUGGCAGGACAGCCGGCUGAAGUGGAACUCAAAGUACUACGGGAACGAGAAGACCCUCAGGGUCCCGGGCAGCAGCAUCUGGACCCCUACACUUACUCUGAAGAGGAAUGUCGAUCCUUUGUACCAAGGCUUGCCUAAGGACGUGCCGCUCGUGAUCAGCACCGAUGGAACGGUAACAUGGACGGUGGAGACUCUGACCAGCACCAUCUGUAAUGCAAACCCGUUCCUCUUCCCAGCCGACACCAUGGAAUGUAACAUCUGUUUCUCCAUAUCAUCGCAAA